rnacentral:misc_RNA from 1 species
GUUAGAUACAAUUAAAAUGAAGUCGAAUAAAAUAUCAGCUAUAAUUAUUUGACUAAGUUUCUUCUCUUCACAAUUACGCGGCGCUCCCCCCAACUAUAUAAAGCAACCUCAUUCAGUAGAUGUGUCGUCUGACACUGAAGUGUCUUCCCAUUUGUUAAGCACGCGUUUAUUACUUUUACUUAAAUUGUUUUCAAAUGGCAGUUAUAAGACCGAUUUUAAGUAGAGUUCAUACGAUAGUAAAUCCCUCUACUUCGCUAGUUCUGAGACAUUAUAAUAAAUCAAGUUCGGUACUUGGAAGGUUUGGUAAGGCUCGGCCGCCGGUUGCUCAAAAGCACCUGUUUCUUAAGGAAGAAAAUGCAAGAGACUUCAUAUACACACUAAAGCCGAACGAGCGGAACAUUUUGUUAACGGAGCUUACUAAAUUCGAAGAGGAAAGAUUAAAAACAUUAGAUAUCGAUGGCCCGCCUGCAUUAACUUCUUCACAAAUUCGAAUGUUAUUUAUACACAAUGCUCUUCCAUUUGUUGGCUUUGGAUUCUUGGACAAUGUUUUAAUGAUAGUUGCGGGAGAAUAUAUUGAUGCAACUUUUGGUUCCUUACUUGGUAUCUCUACAAUGGCUGCUGCAGGUCUUGGGAACAUGGUUUCAGAUGUUGCAGGAAUUGGGUCUGCUUGGUAUGUUGAAGUAUUGGCUGUUAAGGUUGGUUUUCACAUGCCCACUUUAACCCCUCAACAAGUGGAUAUGAGAAAAACACGUUGGAUUGCUAAUUUGGGCAAAGUGAUUGGCAUUACAGUUGGAUGCUUGAUAGGAAUGUUUCCACUACUGUUCUUUAACUAUGACAGAGACACGCAUAAUGAAUCACAAGAAAGCCCAGCAGAACCUGCCACUGAAACAAAAAAGAGCUAGAUAGAGCAAGAUGACUGAAGAUUAUCAUCAGUAAUAUUAGUGAGAAAGAGGAAACUGUUGGUAACAUUAGGAAAACAAAUAUUUGAAGAUGGCAACUAUUAUGAAAUUUUGUCAAUUGUGUAAGAGUUAUCACAUUAUGUAAAAUCCAUAAUAGAAAUAGCGUGAAUACUGUGAUUAUUUAAAACUUUCUUGUAUACAAAUAUUCUCACAGAAAUCAGUGGAUGUAUGUAUGACAAAUAAAACUGUUGUGCAUAUCAUGUGGGUGUAAUUUUCCUUAAUUUCAAUGUGAAGUUUGUUAUUACAUGAAGUAAUAAAGACUGAUAAUGAAGAGCCAGCAUGAAUUCAAUAGACAUGUUUAGAGGUUGAAAGAGAAUGAAAAUACAAAUGUUCUGGAUUUGAAUAAAUUUGAGAUCUAUAAGGAA